rnacentral:rRNA from 1 species
GUGGGGAAUAUUAGACAAUGGGCGAAAGCCUGAUCCAGCCAUGCCGCGUGUGUGAAGAAGGUCUUCGGAUUGUAAAGCACUUUAAGUUGGGAGGAAGGGCAGUAAGUUAAUACCUUGCUGUUUUGACGUUACCGACAGAAUAAGCACCGGCUAACUUCGUGCCAGCAGCCGCGGUAAUACGAAGGGUGCAAGCGUUAAUCGGAAUUACUGGGCGUAAAGCGCGCGUAGGUGGUUUUGUAAGUUGGAGGUGAAAUCCCCGGGCUCAACCUGGGAACUGCCUCCAAAACUGCAUGACUAGAGUACGGUAGAGGGUAGUGGAAUUUCCUGUGUAGCGGUGAAAUGCGUAGAUAUAGGAAGGAACACCAGUGGCGAAGGCGACUACCUGGACUGAUACUGACACUGAGGUGCGAAAGCGUGGGGAGCAAACAGGAUUAGAAACCCUGGUAGUCC